rnacentral:rRNA from 1 species
AUUGAACGCUGGCGGCAUGCUUUACACAUGCAAGUCGAACGGUAACAGGCCGCAAGGUGCUGACGAGUGGCGAACGGGUGAGUAAUGCAUCGGAACGUGCCCAGUCGUGGGGGAUAACGCAGCGAAAGCUGUGCUAAUACCGCAUACGAUCUGUGGAUGAAAGCGGGGGACCGUAAGGCCUCGCGCGAUUGGAGCGGCCGAUGUCAGAUUAGGUAGUUGGUGGGGUAAAGGCUCACCAAGCCGACGAUCUGUAGCUGGUCUGAGAGGACGACCAGCCACACUGGGACUGAGACACGGCCCAGACUCCGACGGGAGGCAGCAGUGGGGAAUUUUGGACAAUGGGCGCAAGCCUGAUCCAGCAAUGCCGCGUGCAGGAAGAAGGCCUUCGGGUUGUAAACUGCUUUUGUACGGAGCGAAAAGGCUCUCUCUAAUACAGGGGGCUCAUGACGGUACCGUAAAAAUAAGCACCGGCUAACUACGUGCCAGCCGCCGCCGUAAGAC